AACCAUUGGUGUUGACACCCUAAACAGCUAACAAGCGAAUAACUUUAUUUGCUCCAUGGUUAGUGGGAUAAAGUUGUGGAAAACGUAAAAAGGUAGGGGGGAGAGCUUUGGUUUGUUAAAGUUAUUUUGCUCUCACUCCAAAAAUAAGUUUAAAGUGGUUAAAUACUGAUAUGGCCUAAAUCUGAUCCGCCCAUCAUGGGUCGACACAUGGCGAGCAUUUUGAAAAGAUUUGAAUUUCAAAUCAAUUUGAAUUC
rnacentral:lncRNA from 1 species